rnacentral:rRNA from 1 species
UACGUAGGGUGCAAGCGUUGUCCGGAAUUAUUGGGCGUAAAGAGCUCGUAGGCGGUCUGUCGCGUCUGCUGUGAAAACUCGGGGCUUAACCCCGGGCCUGCAGUGGGUACGGGCAGACUAGAGUGCGGUAGGGGAGACUGGAAUUCCUGGUGUAGCGGUGAAAUGCGCAGAUAUCAGGAGGAACACCGAUGGCGAAGGCAGGGUCUCUGGGCAUUAACUGACGCUGAGGAGCGAAAGCAUGGGGAGCGAACAGG